rnacentral:rRNA from 1 species
CACGUAGGGGGCGAGCGUUGUCCGGAAUCAUUGGGCGUAAAGAGCGUGUAGGCGGUUCGGUAAGUCUGUCGUGAAAUCCUGGGGCUCAACCCUGGGCGUGCGAUGGAUACUGCCGGGCUAGAGGGUGGUAGAGGAGAGUGGAAUUCCCGGUGUAGCGGUGAAAUGCGCAGAUAUUAGGAGGAACACCGGUGGCGAAGGCGCUGCUCUGGGCCGAUACUGACGCUGAGGAGCGAAAGCGUGGGUAGCAAACAGG